rnacentral:rRNA from 1 species
GACGAACGCUGGCGGCGUGCUUAACACAUGCAAGUCGAGCGGUAAGGCCCUUUCGGGGGUACGACGAGCGGCGAACGGGUGAGUAACACGUGGGUGACCUGCCCUCAGCUCUGGGAUAAGCCUGGGAAACUGGGUCUAAUACCGGAUAUGACUCCAUGACGCAUGUUGUGGGGUGGAAAGCCUUGUGCGGCUGAGGAUGGGCCCGCGGCCUAUCAGCUUGUUGGUGGGGGUGAGGCCUACCAAGGCGACGACGGGUAGCCGGCCUGAGAGGGCGACCGGCCACACUGGGACUGAGACACGGCCCAGACUCCUACGGGAGGCAGCAGUGGGGAAUCUUGCGCAAUGGGCGAAAGCCUGACGCAGCGACGCGCGUGAGGGAUGACGGCCU